UUGAAAAUUGUUAUUUAUCGAAUAAACAUUUAGUAGUGUGUGUUUCUCAUAAAGAAUAACAAAUAUAAUGAAGAUUGUAAUUUUUCUUUUUACAAUUUUCUUUUUUACAACUGUCAUAUCGUCAGAAAUAUGGCAAAGUCCCACGGAUUUAGUUUUACAUCAACAACCAAUUGAUGAAUAUAUACCUGGAAUUCGUGGUUUUCGUAUAUUUCCCAGAAUGCCUUUUUAUCAUUCAAGAAAGAGACGAAAACAUAAUAAUUAAUUAUUUUUUUUAGUUAUUUUUAAAAGCACUAAACAUAGUAAUACUGUAGAAAAACAUUUACAUUCAACAUGGUGAUUUUAAUAUAUGCGUUGAAUUGUAAUAUAAUUGAACAAACUUGUUAAAUUUGAUUAUUAUUAAAACAUAGUUUUUGCCAA